rnacentral:misc_RNA from 1 species
GGCCGGUGUCGAUAAUACGCUAAAUAAACAAUGAUUACUCUCUUUCGCUUGACAAAAAGAGAGUUACUGGCGAGUAUUGCUUUGCUG